GGUCAGGCUGGUCUUGAACUCCUGACCUAGUGAUCCACCCGCCUCAGCCUCCCAAAGUGCUGAGAUUACAGUCGUGAGCUACUGUGCCUGGCCUCUAUUUCUAAAUCUUAAGAAUAGCCUUAGCCAGGCAUGGUGGCAUGUGCCUGUAAUCCUAGCUACCUGGGAGACUGAGUUGGCAAGAUUGCUUGAGCCCAGGACUUCAAGGUUGCAGUGAGCUAUGAUUAUGCUACUGCACUCCAGCCUGGGUAAAACAGCCUGGGGGCACUGAUUAAAAUAUCAAGUGUCUCCUAUGAAACUGGCUUCACUGAAAAGUGGAGCUAGUAAGACAAUGAAAACUAAAGAUGAAAUGGCAACAAGAGUGACAACAGUGCAUUCUCAUCAUCUCAGCACACUUAGUUGCUGAAACAAGCUAGAUAGACGAUAUAUCCUGUGUUCUUCCUUCCACAGACUAAGAUUUACAUGGACCAGAGCCCAGUCUGUAUCCUGUGGAAGGAAAUUUUUAAAAAUGUUUUGAUGGACUUAUUAAUGAAAAAACUUCACUAACGAACAUUGCAGAACAUGGGGACUAGUGUAGCUCUGUUACCGCCCUUUCCCCCAAGGGAAUAUAAAAAAGUAAAAUAGAGACCCGUCAGUGGGCAAACCUAGUUCAUAUCUCCUUUUUAUAAUAAAUAUCAAGUUAGUUAUCUCACAUUUAGAUCUGUACUAUGUUUUGAGUUAAUUUUUGUAUUUGACUUUGAGGUGUUAGGGUUUUUUAAUUGCUGAUCCAAUGCCAUUUGUUUGAAAAGACUUGUUUUCCUCAUUUAAUUGGCACAUUUGUAGAAAUCUGUUUAAAAUGUUGGUCUGUGUCUGGAUUCUCUAUUCGGUUCUAUUGAUAUGUACGUGUCUUCUUACACCAAUAGUGUACCAUAUUGAUUACUGUAAGUUUACCAUAAGUCUUGAAAUCUGGUAGUGCAAGUUCUGUGCCUUUGUUCAAUGGCCCUUUAAUUACCCUGGGACCUAGGUAUCUUGGGCAAAUGAGGAUAUAUUGUCACCCAACCUGUAACUGAUAAAGGACUAAUAUCCAGAAUAUAUAAAGAACUCUUAGGAAAACAAAAUAUUUUUAUUAGCCCUUGACAGAAGAAAAAAUCCAAAUGGCAAAUAAAUACACGAAAAUGAACAUAUUACCCACCAGAUUGGCUAAACUGUACAAAUAAAUAUUGGAGAUGGUAUGCAAAAACGAGCUGCCAUAUAUUGCUGGUGAAAACCACUAUGGCAAACUUCGGCAUUAGUGCAACUGACAAUAUACAUAUUCCUAUAUCCAGUGAUUCUAAAUCUUAAAAAUAGACAAGUUGAUAGUAGUAUAGUCAUAAAAAGAAAUACAAGGAGAAAAGUUUCCUUUAUUAGGAAAAAACAUUGGUAAAAACAGUAACGAAUCAGACAAAAGGAUAUGUAACAUACGUUUCUGUUUAUAGUUCCAAAACAGGCAAGAUGAUUGAUUAUACUUUGUGUAGGGAUGUAUACAUAGUGUUAAAGUAUAAAGCAAAGACAUGAUUGCCCACAAAGUUAAAAUAAUGAUCAGUUUUGGGAAGGGAGGGUGAGGGAUAUCAGUGAUUUGGUAAGCAGGGAACUUACUAAGUUUUAGAAAUAUUCUAUUUUUUGAGUUGCAUUAUGAUUACAUGUGUCUGCUUUAAAAUAUAACUUGCUAUGCUGUACAUUUUAUUUUUGCACUGUGCUUGGACUAUACAGCACCAAGAAGAAUAGAAAAUGAGAGCAAGAUGGCAGAUUAGGCAGCUCCAGGUCUUCAUUCCCCCAUGGAAACAUUAACGAAACAAGUAGAGACUGACUAAAGAAAACUUUAUGGGAACUCUGGAAGACAAAGAUCUACAGGAACCAAGCUAAUGCCCAAUCAAGGAAAAGUCACAUUCAAAAUGGCACUUCAAGACAGUUGACUAGAAGCAUUUAGUAGUUGCUGCCUCCACCAAGAAGAACCAAAGUAGUGAGUAGUCAAACAGAUCAUCCAAGAAAGAAUACUGGAAUUCAACAGGAAAGGGAUAGGAAAUACUUAAGGAAGAAAGAAGGAAGUGGGAACACCUGCCUGUCCAGGAAUGUCUAGCAGUCAAGAGACACCACAGUACAGGGAAAAGGUAAGUGACAGACCCUCAGCAGUCCACAUUUCUACCAUGGACUCCUGCAACCCUACCAUGGGACAGCCCCUUGAUUGAUAGUCACAGGCCCUGAAAUUAACAUAGGGAGCUGCCAGAUUAUUAUACUAUGGCACUGGUCCAGGGAGGAAGCUCACACUGGGUUUCACAUACUCCUUAAGACAUAAGCAGCUAAAGCAAGGCACUAUCUUAGACCAUGCACUGUUCUGGAGCCCAGCAAUGCCAGGACUUGAGGCACAAGAGAAGUAUGGCUGCUGCCUCUGGGGUUUAGCCAUGAGCAACCUUGGGCAAUCAUACCAGGUCUGAGGCAUGGGUGAGGCACAGGCUACCCCAGCAUACGUAUUUCCCAUCUGCUGGCCUAGGCUGCCCACCACUGAAGGCUGCUGCCACCUGCCACCAAAGCAUUCCACAGGUGGCUGGCGAGCAUACUCCUGCCUACCAUGGUUGGCACCUGCACUCACCAUCAGGCAGCCUGAAGACAAGCCCACCUGGCCUGGCUUCAGCUCCCCCAACCCUGUGCCACAGUGUCACAGUACACAAUCCAAGGACCAAAGGAUUGCCUAGCACACUCCACCACCACUGGCACCUGAACACUCCUUCAAGGAGCCUGAGGUUGGGCCUACCCACCAGGCCACUACCAGCACAGCUGGCAGCCACCUCCAUAUGUGGGCCUGGAGACUGGCCCUCUCAGCCCAUUAGAGAUGCCACCAGCACCGAUGCACACCACAUGCGCCCAGAUUGUUGCCCUACCGCUAUUCCUGUCAUUGCCCAUGCCAUGCCCAGGGGACCAAGAACCUGACUCAUUGCUGCCACUAUUGGUGCUUGAGUGAGCCACUUGGAGGCCCAAGAAUUAGCCUGCAUGGACCCACUAACACCAGUGCCAGCUUCCCUUGCCCUGAGCCAAGUGCAGACACAGCCCACUGUUGCCAGUAAUGGAGCCCAAAGACUAACCAACAUGGCAUACCAGGCCCCAGCAAAACAUCACCAAAGCCUCUGCUAAUAACUUCACCCUAAGCCACCAAGGAAAUCACAGAUACCAUUGACUCCAUUUACUACUGAAGAAAUGACACAGUAUGCUACUGUGCACACCCAGAAUCAAAGGGAAAGUGUCCUACCCAACCAACAUCAUAGACACACCUUAAGGAAAAAGUCCUCCUCUACAAAAGCAAAGUCAAAAAUUUGGAAGAAGCAACUGUUAUACCAGAUGUAUAGAUAUCAAUCUAAGGACAAAGAAAACAUGAAAAACCAAGGAAAUGUGACAGCUCUAAAGGAACACUAACUCUGCAGUAACAGAUCCCAAUCAAAAAUUCAUAAAAUCUAGGGGGAAAACCUGAUUCUAAAGCAGCUCAGUGAGAUACACAAAAACUCUUAAAAAAAAAAAAAAAAAAAAAAAAAAAAACCAAAAAUGUAAAGAUACAUAUGAGAAAUUUACCACACAGAUUGAUUAUAUCAUAAAAAAGAACAAAGCCAAUUCUGGAACAGAAGAAAUCAUUGGAUGAAAUACAAAAUACAUCCAAAAUCUUCAACAACUGAUUAGGUCAAGCAGAAGAAAUAAUCUCAACUUGAAGACAAGUCUUUUGAAAUAACUCGGGCAAAAAUAGAGAAUAAAAAGUAGUGAGUAAAACUUCAUGACAUAAGGGACACCACAAAGCAAUGAAAUACUUGAAUUAUCAGGGUCCCAGAAGGCAAAAAGAGGAAAACUUUUCUAGUCUAGCAAGAGAUUUAGACAUCCAGAUACAGAAGAUUCAGAGAUCCCUAAAGAGAUAACAGUGCAAAAAGGUCUUCUCCAUAGCACAUUAUAGUCCAACUCAGAAGUCAAAGACAAGGAGACAAUUCUGAAAACAAGAGAAAAGUAUCUAAUACCUAUAAAGGAACUCCUAUCAGAAUAACAGCAGACUUCUCAGCAGAAAUGUUAUAUGCCAAGAGAGAAUAGGAUAUAUUCAAAAUGCUGACUGAAAAAAAAAAAAAAAAAAAAAAA